AGAGAGGAGGUCAAAUGUCUUAUCGAAUAAGCAUAUUUAAAAUAUCGGACGCCACACACUAAAAUACAGAAGCUUACAAACGUGUGAGUCACGCAUGAAUGAAAUGUGCUCAAACGAAUCUGCUGAAAAGUGUCGCGUAAAAGGUGCGAGACCAGCGCGUCAGAGUGGUUGUUCCAGAGAUGAGAAGGACUAAAUCCACGCUAUAAGCCAGCUGUUGAACUAAGAGAUGUGGAGUGAUGUGAUGUUGCUACGAGCUCUUCUGCUGAUGCUGAGUCUAUGGACGCGGUCAGAGCACACGCCAGGACAGCCAGCUUACAACGUUGAUCAUACUCCAUGUUUGUUCAUCUUCUGAAAUCAAGUUUGAUCACAUUUAGUGCUGGCAGAAUUUCAAGCAUGGAGAGACAUAUUUUCACAUUGCCUGAUGGUGG